rnacentral:lncRNA from 1 species
AGCUUGGGUGCAUGUGAAGCCAGAGGAGCACUCCUGGGGCCUGCGGUGCCAUCACUCAGCUCCCCUGGGCUUCACAUGGCCAUGGAGCACCCAGCAAGUGUAGGCUCUGAGCCUUCAGGGAGGGGCGGCAUCAGCCAGCACCAUCGUCUCCUGGGUCUUGUGCCUCUUCCUUGGUUGCGGUGUUGUCAGGGCCAGAAUUGGGCAAUUCCGGGUGACAUCCAGGUGUGGCUGCUGACACGGAGCACAGGUGAGGUUCACUGAGGACACCCUGCUCCUGUGGUUUGCAGCCCCGGCCUUCUCUUCGAGGACGCCUCUGCUCUUCUGCCUCACACUCGGAUUGGACCUUCUUCAGCACAGCCAGUGGCCGAGGCUUCCUCCCUGGGGCUCAGUGGAGCAGGACAGAUGCUGCAUCCAAACUCUUCCAUUGGGUUCCAGUCUGUUCCAGUCAUGCCCUUGAGCCUCUAAAGCUCCUAGGUGAGAGACGUAGCAGCUGACAGCACUUCCCACUUGAUUUGGGUGGACUCCAGCCUCCCCAGCAACAAUAAGAGAUCAAAAGCAUCGUUGAGGAAGCAGCUUGCUGAAACGCUGAGUGCCCGCCACUCUCAGGUCAGGUGGGACCGGCAGGCCAGCAUGAGUUCCUGAACACUUGGUUCUCAAUACUGGCCACAGCCACACUGUAAGGGGAAACAAGAGGGCACUGUAUGCAAACAUCUCUUGAACUCUGGAGUCUGCUCACCUUCCUGCCUCAAGCCCCUCUCCCACGUGGUCCAGUCACCAUUCUCCACAGAGACUACCCUAAAACCCAGCGACUCUCGUGUGCCUGCAGAAUGGCACAGCCCGUUCUCAUAGCAGCACUCCUGUUUAAUCAGAGGGAUGUUAACGACCAAGUCAUAUUUGCUCGAUUUGUGUUCAACAUAUUUCAUUUGUACCGAUAAAACUUAAAAAUAUCCCCACACAUGCAUUGCCUAUUAAA